UGAUCUGAGCCAAAGUCAGACACUUAACCGACUGAGCCACCCAGGUGCCCCAGAAUUUUACCAAGUUAAUAGAAUUGUGUCCCAGGAAGGAGAGACAGCAUGUGCAAAGGUCCUGACAUUGGAAUGAGUUUUGUGUAUCCAAAUAGAAAAGUCCACAGUAAUGACCCUUUUUGUUGUUUAGUGAACAUAUGCUUACAUCCUUCCCUGGGGUAAACCUCCAGGUAGACCCGCUUGACCUGAACAGAAAUGUUUAGAGAGACCAAAGCAAACUUAUCGGUAAGACAGACAUUUGGAAGUUUCUGGGCUGUAAACAGGAGGCAAUUUAUUCUGUAAACUGUAACAUUUCCUCAUUUUGGAGCCAGAGUUCCCUCUCACCUGGCUGGUGACGAGCCUGUGACCUCAAACUGGGAGCACUCACAUCUCUAGGCAUUGCACUUCAUACCAUGAGUUCCUUGGAUCUAAUAACCUGCUACUCUUAGCCCCAUUCUCCAGAGCCGUGAACUGAGGCCUCAAAGAAGGAUCACAUCUUGCCUGAGGUCACAGAGGCCAAACACUAACCACUGUGCUUUACCAACUUCCCCCAAAUAUACAUUUCAACUUUGGAACUGGUUGGGCUGAGGUUUGUGUUUUGGGCAUAGGUUUCCCAAAUAGCCCAUGGUCCUUGCCCUUCCUCUUCAGGAGGAGAAAACACACACACGUACACACAUGUACACACACACACACACACACACACACCUGACCAUCUUGGCCAUUUGUCCCUCCUCCCAUCUCUACAGAACAGUGGCCACCAAGGUGCAGAGCAGUGCCAGGAUCUGAUGUGCAUCCGUGGAAGGGGCGGGGAGAGGAGAGAGUCCCUUUCAGUAGCCAACUGUGUGUGUGCAACUUCCUGCCAGUGAGGAAACAUUCGUUCAAAUCAGCCCUGGUUCUCCUCCCUGCUCUGGCCUCACAGGAGGAGUUGGCAGUGAGCUGUGGGCUGCACUGGCCUCAGCCAGACUUCCUGGCCAAGCUCAGGAGGAGAGAUGCCCUGGACUGUCCUGCUCUUUGCAGCCGGCUCCUUGGCCAUCCCAGCACCAUCCAUCCUGCUGGUGCCCCCACACCCCAGCAGCCAAGAGGACCCCAUCCACAUCGCCUGUGUAGCCCCCGGGGGCUUCCCAGGGGCCAAUUUCACGCUGUACCGCGGCAGGCAGGUGGUACAGCUCCUGCAGGCCCCCGCGGACCAGCUGAGCGUCACCUUCAACUUGACCGGAGGAGGCAGGGAGGCUCCGGGGGGCACAUUUCACUGCCAGUACGAGGUUCUAGGUGAACAGCCGCAGCUGUCUGACCUCAGUGACACUGUGAGUGUCUCCUUCCCAGUGCCCACUUGGAUACUGGCACUCUCCUUGAGUCUGGCUGGAGCUCUCCUUCUCCUUGCUGGGCUGGUGACCCUUGCCGUGGUGGUCAGGAGAGUGAAAGUAAAAAAAAUGCAGAAGAAAAGAGAGCGAGAAUCCUGCUGGGCCCAGAUCAACUUCGCCACCACAGAUAUGACCUUUGACAAUUCCCUGUUUGCCAUCUCUACGACAAGAACAUUGAAGCUAAUUAUGGGCCUUAAUGGGGUCAUCCAGCUAGGCAGGUGCAGGACUGGGAUGGAACCCCAGCCAGCUGUCACCUACCAAGCUUUGGUUUUAAAAAUGAAUCCAGAAGAUCCAGCCACGCUGGAUGCUUGCUCGGGCUCCGUCGAGACACCUGGCAACUCUGGGCCCCGGAAAAGGCCCACUUCCACAUCUUCCUCGCCCGAGCCCCCCGAAUUCAGCACUUUCCGGGCCUGCCAGUGAGGCUGAGGAUCGGGGGCCCCUCUGUGUCUGUGCAUUCUCCAUUCAGCCCCCUGUCUUGAGGGCCUGAGGUUGCUCUAGCUACUUUGGGUUUUCUGGCUGCUGCUUUCUCAGGGAAUUGAAUAGAGGAGACCAAGAGAAUCCUUGGCCUUGGGACCUUCCUCAACAGAGGAGCAGGAGUGGCAGAGGGGUCGCCCACAUUGUCCUGGAAGCUGGACAGAAAGUGGGAGCACUCUUUGGAUUCUACCCAGGAAGGAGAUCGGAAGGGCGUC